UAGGCCCGGCGUGGGGAGGCCGGCAGGAAGGGCCUCGAGCCCAGUGCGGACCUUUCUUCAGCCUCUGUGCGACCGAGCCGCGCGCCAGGCUCCUGUGCGAGGAGGACGCGCUGACUCCCUCCGACCUGGGCUCCGAUGGAGCAGAAAUAGCGGGACCUGGACUUGUGGCGCGCCUGGUGCCACAUCUCGGGCUCUGCGAGCGUCCUGGCGCGGGAUCCUGCCUGUUCCCUUCUUUUCGCCAGGUUUGCAUCCAAGAGAGGGGAGGACAGGGGCAAAAGGAUGCAGGGAGGCUGCUGAUUUCCACUGAAGAGCUAAUUUCCUGUGAGACAUUAACAGUGAUUUAAGAAAAAGAUUCCUGUAACUGUAAUGUCUUACAAUAACAGAAUGCAGGAGAGCACAUAUCAAUGAAGAAAAGACAAAAUGUACUUAUCCAUGAAGCUGAGGUUAAGAAACCAGUGUCUUCAAGAGCCAGGGACAGCACUGGGUCUGUGCAGAGUUGAGAGAUGGUGAUGACAUGUGGUUUCCAGCAUUCUUGGCCCAGUCUGGGAUUCUACUCUUUUGUAGUGGUUUCCAGCAUUCCUCACCCAGUCCAGGGACACUGUGGGUGUGCCCAGCUUAAGUCCAGUAACUGGAAAUACAAGCCCAAGUUCUGGAGAGUUUGAGCUGCAGAGAUAUAUAUGGGAACACUUUGAAUCUUGACUCAUUGGCCAUAACCAGCAGAGUGGAAAAUACAAGAAGAGAAAAAAACAUUGAACUGCGAUUUUAUAACAUCCUUUACUAGGCAGAGAGAAGAGGAAACACCAGGAAAGAAAACUGUAUUACGAUGUGAAAACUUAAUGUUGAGAAAUUCAGGCAUCUUGGGGUUAGUGAGGAGAAGUUUUAGGGGCUUAGAUUCUUCUAAACACAUGUACAGAAAUGCAUAUUUCAUCUGAUAUCAAAUGGCAUUUAUAGUGCUAAUCUUUACCUCAAGACUUCACAUCUUUUGGUGAUUGCAUCUUUUAGGUUUAUAGCAGCUAAGUUUGCAUGAAAACACCAGGGCUGUUUCAUUUCAGUCAAGAAUUAAUGUUCAUUGAUUGUGCUUCUGCAUUUCAUGUAACUAUUGUAGAAUUUGUUUUAGUUUUAUGAGGGAAUAAUUGUUCCAACUUCUAUAUAACUCAGGAAUUUACUCUCAAACAACACUGUCAAUUAGUUACUUAUCUCUCUGGAAAUGAUCUGGGAACAUGGAGAGGAAAGGGAGGAAGGGGCAAAAUCUGACCACUUAAAUCUAAGCAUAUUAGAUCAUUUUAUGCUAGAAAGUCCUGAAUGAUGUGACUUUCGUUCUUGUAAAACACCUCUUUCCAUAGAUUCAUGGCCCAAACAGUAUAUAAAGAGUGGGGAAGGAACUGCAUUUGCAAAUAGUUCAAAUCAUUGCUCCAUCUUAACUACGCAGUUCACAAAGUGUGAAGAAAUGUGAUCAUCUCAAAAAAGAUAAUGGGGAAAAAAUAUGUUUUGUUCUGUGACUUUAAAGUCUUGCAAUAUUUUACAUAAAUGAUAAUGGGUGCUUUAAUAAGAACUCUUGAUACUUUUGUUAUUGUAUUCAAUAUAUGCAU
ensembl:lncRNA MAGI2-AS3 MAGI2 antisense RNA 3